rnacentral:rRNA from 1 species
GACGAACGCUGGCGGCGUGCUUAACACAUGCAAGUCGAACGGAAAGGCCCUGCUUUUGUGGGGUGCUCGAGUGGCGAACGGGUGAGUAACACGUGAGUAACCUGCCCUUGACUUUGGGAUAACUUCAGGAAACUGGGGCUAAUACCGGAUAGGAGCUCCUGCUGCAUGGUGGGGGUUGGAAAGUUUCGGCGGUUGGGGAUGGACUCGCGGCUUAUCAGCUUGUUGGUGGGGUAGUGGCUUACCAAGGCUUUGACGGGUAGCCGGCCUGAGAGGGUGACCGGCCACAGUGGGACUGAGAUACGGCCCAGACUCCUACGGGAGGCAGCAGUGGGGAAUAUUGCACAAUGGGCGGAAGCCUGAUGCAGCAACGCCGCGGGCGGGAUGACGGCCUUCGGGUUGUAAACCGCUUUCGCCUGUGACGAAGCGUGAGUGACGGUAAUGGGUAAAGAAGCGCCGGCUAACUACGUGC